rfam:Pteropus alecto contig20437, whole genome shotgun sequence.
ACAUACGGCCACGCCACCCUGAACAAGCCCAAUCCCGUCUGAUCUCGGAAGCUAGGCAGGGUCGGGCCUGCUUAGUACUUGGAUGAGAGAAGACACACUACAGCCAGAUGCGACGAGCCGGCACCCUUAGCC